rnacentral:misc_RNA from 1 species
UAGCAGCUCUGAGCAGGAAGAUAGAG